AAGAGAAUGAAGAUUCUGAAAGAAGCUGCUAACUAUCUUUCAAUGCGGUUAAAUUCCGUAUUUCUCUUA
rnacentral:tRNA from 2 species